GCAAGUCGAACGAGGUGCUUUUGUAGCAAUACGAGGGUAUCCUAGUGGCGAACGGGUGAGUAACGCGUUGGUGACCUACCCCAAAGUGUGGGAUAACAGUCCGAAAGGAUUGCUAAUACCGCAUGUGGUCUUCGGAUUUAGAAACUGAUGACUAAAGGAGCAAUUCGCUUUGGGAGGGACCUGCGUCCCAUCAGCUAGUUGGUGAGGUAAUGGCUCACCAAGGCUACGACGGGUAGGGGACCUGAGAGGGUGACCCCCCACAAUGGAACUGAAACACGGUCCAUACACCUACGGGUGGCAGCAGUAGGGAAUAUUGCACAAUGGGCGAAAGCCUGAUGCAGCAACGCCGCGUGUGCGAUGAAGGCCUUCGGGUCGUAAAGCACUUUUCUGGGAGAUGAGCAAGGACAGUAUCUCAGGAAUAAGUCUCGGCUAACUACGUGCCAGCAGCCGCGGUAAAACGUAGGAGGCAAGCGUUAUCCGGAUUCACUGGGCGUAAAGCGCGUGCAGGCGGUUCGGUAAGUUGGGCGUGAAAUCUCCUGGCUUAACUAGGAGAGGUCGUUCAAUACUACCGGACUUGGGAGUGAUAGAGGAAGAUGGAAUUCCCGGUGUAGUGGUGAAAUGCGUAGAUAUCGGGAGGAACACCAGUGGCGAAAGCGAUCUUCUGGAUCAUUUCUGACGCUCAGACGCGAAAGCUAGGGUAGUAAACGGGAUUAGAGACCCCGGUAAUCCUAGCCGUAAACGAUGUAAACUUGGCGUCGGCGGCUUAAACUCCGUCGGUGCCGCAGCUAACGCGAUAAGUUUACCGCC
rnacentral:rRNA from 1 species